AAGACUAUACUUUCAGGGAUCAUUUCUAUAGUUUGUUACUAGAGAAGUUUCUCUGAAUGUGUAGAGUACCCAAAACCACGAGGAGGAGGCGUGGUGUUCUCUCCUGAGCGUGAAGCUGGCGUUUGGUGUUGCGUUUUUGUAACUGCCACUUGCCAUUGAUGAUCGUUCUUCUUCCCUUUUGUGGGGAAGUAAGAGGGAGAGAACGCAGUCUGAGUGGA